rnacentral:misc_RNA from 1 species
GUAGGUGAACCUGCGGAAGGAUCAUUAAAAGAACGGGGAGGCGUGGUCUCGGUUUCUCAUGGAAUCGGGACGCGCUUCCUUUUAGUAUCCAAGAUCAUUAUUUUUUGUUGUUUCGGAAUCCGGCGAUUACAUGCUCGAUUCCAAAAUGAAAUAGAAACAAAACUUUCAACAAUGGAUCUCUUGGCUCUUGCAUCGAUGAAGAACG